rnacentral:rRNA from 1 species
CCUACGGGAGUCUGCAGUGAGGAAUAUUGGUCAAUGGCCGAGAGUCUGAACCAGCCAAGUAGCGUGAAGGAUGCCUGCCCUAUGGGUUGUAAACUUCUUUUAUACAGGAAUAAAACGCGGCACGUGUGCCUUUUUGCAUGUACUUUAUGAAUAAGCAUCGGCUAACUCCGUGCCAGCAGCCGCGGUAAUACGGAGGAUCCGAGCGUUAUCCGGAUUUAUUGGGUUUAAAGGGAGCGUAGAUGGGUUGUUAAGUCAGUUGUUAAAGUUUGCGGCUCAACCGUAAAAUUGCAAUUGAUACUGGCAGUCUUGAGUACAGUUGAGGUAGGCGGAAUUCGUGGUGUAGCGGUGAAAUGCUUAGAUAUCACGAAGAACUCCGAUUGCGAAGGCAGCUUACUAAACUGUGACUGACAUUGAUGCUCGAAAGUGUGGGUAUCAAACAGGAUUAGAUACCCGAGUAGUC